GGAACUGGAAAAGCAAGGUAUUGGUGCAGUGAUGUACAAAUAUUCACCGUAUGGAAGUGCUUCUUAACAUCAGUGAAUUAUUGUAAUGUGAUGUAGCCUAAUGUUGUCUGUCAUAUUGUACACCAUGGGGUCGCCAACUGGCCUGCUUUGCCUGGCCUGUCAGAUCAUUUUGACUUUUUGCUUUCUGUCAACUUAUUAAGCAUAUUAACAAGAUUAGAUUUGAGUAUUCAUCUCCUGUUCCGCCUGCAUUGUCUACUCGCUCAGGCUCAUCCCCCCUGCUGACCUCUGUUGUACAGUCUUGAUGUAACCCUUAACUCAAUGUACAUCUUCUGUUUGUCAUAGGAUCAUGUCAGCUGAACUCAAUUAAUGAAACCAGGAAUGAAGUAAGAUCCACUAAUGCAAUAAACUGUCUGCACUUAAUGUUCUACCUACAAUUAAAGUUUUUAUUUCCUAACUCUAUAGUAUAGGGAUAGAUACAGCAAUAUAUUCCUGUAAUCUAUCAGCUGUAAGCUUUGUACCCUCUAACUGGCUUCUGUAUUUGCCCAGGUGUAUGUGAGUCAGUUUUGUUUUUUUAAUGGAAUUUUUAUUUUCAGUGCCAUCAACCAUCUUGUGAGCUGUUGAGGGAGAACAACCACAGGCUGCAGAGGGAAAAAGAUUCUCUCAAGGCAAAAAUAGCAACAUUGAAAUUGCUGCCAGACGUUUUGCAGAAGAUGGAGGAGUUUCUCCGCUCAGCACCAAGACCAACGACAACACCAAUACCAACACCAAGACCAUGACCAAGACCAAGACCAGAACCAACACUAUCACCAGCACCAACAGCAGUUCCAGCACCAGCAACAGAAGACCCAUCACCAGCACCAGGUCCAUCAUCAGCAUCAGCAACAGAGGCCCUGGGCCACUCUGUCAUUCCAAAAGGACUUGUGGAGCGCUGCUCCUUCCAAAGCCCCCAGAAGUUCAUAAAUGAUCUCCUACAUGGGAUGUAUACCAGGGAAUAUAUGACAGGCCAUUCAGUGACUGGCCAGUCAUCCAGCAGCUGCACAGAAGGAAACCUGGCCUAGCCAAACAGGACCUUGUUGAAAUAACAAGUAGGUAUAUAGAAAUGAGAAAAGAUGUUGGUUGAGUGAUACCCUCAUUCUCAUGCUCAUCUUUCGUGCAUGUGUUUGUGUGUGUGUGUGUGUAUUCCCACAGAUGCUGCAAAGUUGAAGUUCACCUACGUAACUGAUACGAACAUAAAAGCAUUCAUACGACAAAAGCU